AAGACGACUCAGCAGUUAAGAGCAUGGGCCGCUCUUCCAGAUGACCCAGGUUUGGUUUCCAGCACCCACAUUGUCGGAAAAUGGCCAAAAGAAUGACUCAUGGUGAACGAGGCCUCGGGGAACUGUGAGAGAAGCUCAGGAAAAAAGACAGAGGGCCUUUUACCUCAGCCCUAUUCAAGCCAAGCAUCAUACAUGUAUCAGGAUGGCUCAAACGGAAAACAGUGAGUGAACGUUCUGAACACUAGCGAGGAUGUGAAGAAACUGGACCCCUUAUUCGUUGUUGGCUGUGGAUCCAGGUAUAGAACUCUCAGCUAUUUUCCAGCAUGUCUGCCUGCAUGCUGCCAUGCUUCCCGCCAUGACGAUCAUGGACUAAGUCUCUGAACUGCAAACCAGCCCCGAUGAAAUGCUCUCCUUUAUAAGAACUGCCUUGGUCACGGCAGCUUGUUGCAGCAGUGGAACAUUGAGCAAGGCAAGGCUGCACUGUAGUUUCAUCUUAAUGUCAUGGGGCAAAACUGGAUGAAACUUUCCUGGGGACUCUCUGUUAUCCCCCACAACUGCGUCUGAAGUAAUUAAAAAAAUCCCAAUAAAAAUUUCAUCCCAGAACAUAAGUGAGAAGGCAUUUGUGGUAGACCCAAGUUCAUGAGGACACUGGAGGAACUCAGUUGAGCUACCAUUGAAAACAGGGUUUCCAAAAUCAAAAUAAAAUGAGAGUUGUCAUUUCUUUAGCACAUCACACCCCUCAGGGUAUUGUACCGGGUUUGCACAUGCUUGGCCUCGUAUCAUCUUUAUCACGUUUGUCAUUCUGGUUAUUUCCCUCAUUAGAGAGGCUGCCUCAAUUUCCUCAGCCGUGAAAGGGUGAUAAUGGCUGUCUAUAGGGUUGAUGUGAGGUGCUAAAUGGAUAUUAACACAUUAUAUGCACAAACCAGGUUCUGACAGGUAGCCGGUGCUGAAUUAGCACUAGGUGCCAGCUGGGGAAUGCGUCCC